GGUUGUGGCUCAGCGGUAGAGCGCUUACCUGGCAUGUACAAGGCCCUGGGUUUGAUCCUCAGCACCA
rnacentral:tRNA from 1 species